rnacentral:rRNA from 1 species
UACGUAGGUGACAAGCGUUGUCCGGAUUUACUGGGCGUAAAGAGCGCGCAGGCGGUCGUCCAAGUCGCGUGUGAAAGCCCCCGGCUCAACUGGGGAGGGUCACGCGAUACUGGUCGACUCGAAGGCAGGAGAGGGUAGUGGAAUUCCCGGUGUAGUGGUGAAAUGCGUAGAUAUCGGGAGGAACACCAGUGGCGAAGGCGACUACCUGGCCUGUUCUUGACGCUGAGGCGCGAAAGCUAGGGGAGCAAACAGG